UUCUGUGGCAUCACACUAGGGAAAGUAAAAGAAUAUGUCAAGGGCAUGGCUGCACUGCAGAUUCAUUGUUUUGAAGACAGACCACCAGAGUAGCCUACAUGUUCUUUUGGGCAGAGAAUUGAUAUCCUGCAGACCAGAGGUCAUCCCUGGAAUAAUAUACCAUGGAAAUAUAAGGGCCUGGGAGAUGAGUGCACAAACCUUGUAACUUCCUUCAAAGCACCUAGCUACUACGAGGGUUCAUGACAUGUAAUAAUAAUCCCUUCUAGUUUCAGCACCUCCAUUUCUUGCUCAGAGUAAUCGAGAUUUAAAAAAUUCACUGGGUGUGAUGAUACAUUUAUAACCACAGAACUUUGGAAGCAAAGGCAAGAAAUUAAAAGAGUCCAAAGUUAAGCUCGCAAAUGUAGAAAGGUCGAGGCUAGCCUGUACUACCUGAGACCCUAUCUCAGAAAAAUUGAGGAGGAAGGAAAAUCAAAGGCAGUAUUGAUGUUAACUAUUAAUGAGUCAGAAAUAUUGAAGUGAGGUUAGAGACUUUGCUAGUUGAAACUGCAGCAUUUUAAGGCAUUCACCUUUAAAUGAAAAUCAGUGUAAAUGUACUCAAAUAAAAAUAAUAAAGGGAAAAUCUGCAUGUCCAUCUGGAAGCAUUUCCAGUGUUUCCAGCAAAUGUGUGUACUUAAAAGUCAGAAAGAAAACACUGAAGAAUUCAUAUUAAAGACUAAGAGUAAGAAAAGCUGCAAGCUGUUUCUCAUUGUGUCUUGAUACUACCCAGAAUACCAACAGUUCACGUCCUCUGAACUGUUGCUUGUGCAAAGCAGCUCUCACCCCUCCUGAAAGCUUAGCAGCUAGGGGAGAAUGGUAGGCCUAGGCUGCUCCUGCAUGUGGGAGGUCUGUGGCUCCUGUGAUUUCAUGCUGCAUGCCCUGCUUCAGAGGGUACUCUGGGCUUCCCCGCACCCAUUUCUCUUACUAGCAACAGGUUUUCUGUUCAAUGGCGUGUCUAAUGCAUUCUGUGUUCUGCUGCAAAGAGGAUGCUAUGAUAUUUCACUCUCCU
rnacentral:lncRNA from 1 species